UUUUGAGAACCCGAAGCAAUGAAGACUGUUGGAUGGUGUUGGGUCAACAUGAUGCAGGAGAGGAUUUGUUAAUUGGAAGAACUAGACGGGCAGUUAGUCGGCGGUGACCGGUAUGAGGGUUUUCUUCUUUUGAAUCGGUUGUCUCUAGUUGUCGUUUUCCCGGUAUUUCUUGAAGAAGAAAAUUUUCCUUUUUUAUUUAUUUGAGAAAAAUGUAUUGAUUUUUGGGUAAACUCCAACUAAGGUCACUAAACUAUUACUAAAUUUACAGUAUGGUCACUCAACAUCAAAAAAUUAUAAAAUGGUCACUGAAAUAUUUAAAUGUUUCAUUUAUGUCUUUAGGCUAUUAAAACCGUUGUUUGUCUAGCUUUCUCUAUUUUACCACCUGCACUAAUCGAAAUCUCUUAUUUCCCUUCUCUUCCACAAUUUUUUUUUCAUGAAACAGAUUUAAACAUCACGAAUUUACGAAUCAAAAUUGGAACAUCUUUCUUCUUCAAUCUUUGACACUGGCCGUAAAAUUGACUUGAAUAUAAGGUAUGUUUUUCUACUCGUUGAUGGGUACUAAUCCACUAUAUCGAUUGUCAAACUAUUGCUUGGAGCUUGCUAGCCUAACUUUAAAAAAAAAACUUAAUACGCC
rnacentral:lncRNA from 1 species